rnacentral:sRNA from 1 species
AUGGGAUGAAAGUGCAGUUCAGCGCACACCUUCUGCCGCUGGUCCAGCGCUCGCCUAGGUCAUUUUGUAUUGCCACAAUUUCUGGUCUCCGGCCUCUGCCCAUUAUUCUCAGUAAGUCAUAAAACAAAUUAAUAUAUUCGUCUAAUAGAGUACACAUAGGCAGCUAUAUAUGUAUACAUGCAUGUGUAUAUGACAAGACCUAUUAAAAAAAGAUACCCUCUCUCCGCAAGGGUAUGCUAGAUAGUGAUUAAACUCCCGAACCGAACCAAACCAAACCAAAACCAAGUCCAAAUUCAUACCAGAAUAAACCCAUUGUCCCCUCCUUUUGCCGAUUUAGAAGAAAGGGAGGAUGGGGGGAGGAAGGGGAGAGAAAGAAUCCUAUGGAACAGAACUCGAAGAAACGGACUGCGGAUUAGAGUUAACAAAAAUGAAGCAACCAAAAUCAAAAUCAAAUCAAAUGCAUCUGCAAUUUCCUCAUUGUUACGGAAUUCCUAGCCCUUUGCACCGUUUUGCCGCAUAUUAGGUUCAUAAUAUGUCAAUUGGUUUUUAAAAACAAAUUACGUUUUGAUGGAAAAGGCCGGAUAAGGCGCGGUGGAGGGGAGUGGCGGAAUCCGGUCUAUCAAAUGGGAUGAAUAUGAUAGUAUUGAUAUUUAACCCAACCAUCAUAUCAUAUCUGCCUCUUUGCCCUCGGAGGAAAAAAGAUAGGCCCGAAAAAUUAGAAGUGAGAAGCGACGAAGAAAUGUCACCAUCAUCAAAGUGAUUUCUCGUCUUCCGUCAACUUAAUAUCCAUCACCCUCUUUCCCCCCAGCGUCUUUAUCUUCGAGGCCAAUUUCCCCGCCUCAUGGAGUGCCUCUAUAUCAUCUCCGCCGCCGAUGGUCAUACCAUUGACCAGAACGUUAGGCACGGUUCUGCGCCCCGUGUUGCGCGCAAGGACCUCUUGUAGCUGCUCCCCGAGCGGGUGUAUAUCGAGCUCGACGACGAAAGGGGGGGGGAUGAUGCUGUGUUUGUUCAGGAGGAUGGAUUUGGCUUUUUCGCUGUAGGGGCAGUAGGAUUUGGAGAAUAUUAUGA